AUCCAACAAGCAAGACUAAGAGCGAAGAUUUGAAUUGGAAAUCGAACUAUUUCACUGCAAAGAAAACCAUCGACGUCCAUAAAGAUUCAGACAGCCAGGCUCUCAAAGAUUGGUGGAUAUGACUUAAAGAGUUGUUUAAGCACCAUCAUGGACAGGCUCAUGACAAAUUAAUUAAUGUCCAAUCUGAACAUGAAGGGGAGAGGGGGAAAAAAUAGCUUUGCCGAGACGAAGCUGCUCGAUUUAGUCACAGCUAGUGUCUUGGAUACCCAGAAGGGGACCGAAACGAUGGUCCAUGAUGCCAUAAAAAAUAAACUGAAAUAUGCCCCUGGACGGAAGGGAGGAAUAAGAUGGGCAUCACAGGC